GAGCCAAACCAUAGUGGUUUGAGUGUCAGACUACGACCCUGAAGAUCAGGGUUCAAUUCCCUGCUCA